GACCUUGCACGCAGAGUUAAAUACGCCCCCAGAUAGAAAAGCUACACUUUUCUUUUGCAGUGAUAAUUUACAACUGGAAAACAUUUUCAUUGAGUAAGAGGUUUGCUUAUUAUUUAAUAAAUUUAGACUUUGAUUUGCCAUGAUGUAUCAACAAAUGCAACAGAAUAUUAUGUUAUCUUAAUUAUCUUGGGUUAGUGGGUAAAAAAUAGAGGCAACCUUCAUGUGUUAAUGAGUAUUUAAUAAAUGAAAAAUGUGAAAACAAUGUUAUCAGAGUAUUUCAAAUAGAAAUGAGUAGAAUUCAGUGAAGGAAAAUUGAGUGAUGAAAGCACACACAGUCGCAUAAGCAAGCUCUACUCGAAAGGACUGACAUUAUCAUAACCCAUAUAUAUACCUAGAAUAGAUAUACUACGCUCCUUCUAUCUCUACACAUACCAACUUGCAAACCAUGAUUACCAGUAAGCAUGGUAGUAAGAAUGCGAAGAAUAUUUUGUUAAAUCUUUUUCAGCAUUAUAAUUUGGAGCACAACUAUUGAAACGAUGGGGUCAUUAAAAUAAAUGUAAGAGUAGUUUAAAAACAGCUUACUGUUAAAAAGAGAAAAUAUCAACAGUGUUAAUGACUUAGAAGAUGGUCCAGGUCCACGCAAAGCAAAAUGUAAGGAAUCAAGUUAACCACAAGUAAAAUAGAAAAUGUCCAAGCACAUUAUUAUACUGUUAAACUCAAUUUUAGCAAUUCAUUAAAAGUGUUUGUGGGGGCCAGCCUGGUGGUCCAGCUGUUAAGUUGCUCCGUUUCAGCAGCCCAGUGUUCACUGGUUCGAAUCCCAGCCAUGGACCUACGCGCUGUUUAUCAAGCCAUGCUGUGGCAGGCAUCUCAUAUAAAAUAGAGGAAGAUGGGCACAGACAUUAGCUCAAGGCCAAUCUUCCUCAGCCAAAAGAAGAGGAUUGGCAAGGGAUGUUAGCUCAGGGCUAAUCUUCCUCAAAAAAAAAGAGUGUUUGUCAUAUCAAAUUAAUUUGAAUGUUAUUAGUGAUGAGGAUUUUAGGCUGGUUACUUUUAAAACUACAGAUGAGGAGCAGGCUCCGAGGACUGGAAUUUUGCUUGCCCUUCUGAGAGACAUUUGCGUUUGUGAAGGAAGGGGGGGUGACCUUGUAGGGACCCGAAAUUGGCCACCCCAGGAUAUGUCUCUUUGGCAUCAGGAUUGUUUUGGGCUGAUUGCUUUCGAUAAACUGGGACAGGGAAGGAGGCUCUGGGGAAUGGAACUUGCCCUUGUUGGGACACAUUUACAUUUGUAAGGUAAAUCUCUAUCUGUAAAAGGUGCCUCCCUCUCUGUACCAGGAAGAAGAGGAGAGAUGACCUUGUCCCUAGAAGCUCUUAAUGGGGAAGGCAAGAACUUAAAGCCUCUAGAGAUAAGACCAUCCCCCCCUCUUCCUGGCACAGAGAGGGAGGCUGCUUAAUUUUAAAAUGGCUUAUGAUGAGGAUUUUUAGGCUGGUUAGUUUUAAAACUACAGAUGAGAUUCAGGCUCCAAGGAGUGGAAUUUGUUUGCCCCUUUGUUGGGAAACAUUUACAUUUCUCAGGGAAACCUCUAUCUGUGAAGAUGCCUCCCUCUCUGUGCCAGGAAGAAGGGGGAAUGGUCUUAUCUCUAGAAGCUCUUAAUGUGGAACGCAAGAACUUAAGUUGGUUGCUGUCUGGCAAUCUCAUGUAACUGAUUUAGGGUGGUGGCUUCUGACCUUUACUUAAUCCGAUUUGAUUCUUGUCUAAAAGUCAUGGGAUCACCCAACGACCAGACCCCACCUGCACUGAUACCAUUUUAACUUUUUUUCAUGUUCUUUCCUUUGUCUUCGUAAAGAGAUGACUCACAUACCUAUGCCUUAAAUUUAGCCCUAACCCUCAACUCGGGGCAGCAGCAGGAGCUCUGACUGCCCGUGGGUCCUGUCCCCACGCACCAGCUCUGCCUGCCCAUGGGUCCUGCCCCCAUGCCAGCGGGGGCAGCAGCAGCCGCAG
rnacentral:lncRNA from 1 species